GAGUAAAGUGGCGUACGGGUGAGUAACACGUGGGUAAUCUACCUCUUUGUGGGGAAUACCUCUGGGAAACCGGAGACAAUACCGCAUAAGCCUGAGAAGGGAAAGCGUAGCAAUACGCGCAGAGAGAGGAGCCCGCGGUCGAUUAGCUAGUUGGUAGGGUAAUGGCCUACCAAGGCAAUGAUCGAUAGCCGGCCUGAGAGGGCACACGGCCACACUGGCACUGAAACACGGGCCAGACUCCUACGGGAGGCAGCAGUGGGGAAUCUUGCACAAUGGGGGCGACCCUGAUGCAGCGACGCCGCGUGAGCGAUGAAGCCCUUCGGGGUGUAAAGCUCUUUCGGCAGGAACGAUAAUGACGGUACCUGAAGAAGAAGCUGCGGCUAACUACGUGCCAGCAGCCGCGGUAAUACGUAGGCAGCAAGCGUUGUUCGGAGUUACUGGGCGUAAAGAGUGCGUAGGCGGUCUUCUAAGUUUGGUGUGGAAUCUCCCGGCUCAACUGGGAGGGUGCGCCGAANACUGGAAGGCUUGAGUGUGGGAGAGGUAAGCGGAAUUCCUGGUGUAGCGGUGAAAUGCGUAGAUAUCAGGAGGAACACCUGCGGGUGUAGACGGCUUACUGGACCACGACUGACGCUGAGGCACGAAAGCGUGGGUAGCAAACAGGAUUAGAUACCCUGGUAGUCCACGCCCUAAACGAUGCAUACUUGGUGUGAGCCGUUCAUUCGGUUCGUGCCGGAGCUAACGCGUUAAGUA
rnacentral:rRNA from 1 species